rnacentral:rRNA from 1 species
AACGAACGCUGGCGGCAUGCCUAACACAUGCAAGUCGAACGAGAUCUUCGGGUCUAGUGGCGCAAGGGUGCGUAACGCGUGGGAAUCUGCCCGUUGGUUCGGAAUAACAGUUGGAAACGACUGCUAAUACCGGAUGAUGACGAAAGUCCAAAGAUUUAUCGCAGGAGGAUGAGCCAGCGUAGGAUUAGCCAGUUGGUGUGGUAAAGGCGCACCAAGGCGACGAUCCUUAGAUGGUCUGAGAGGUUGAUCAGCCACACUGGGACUGAGACACGGCCCAGACUCCUACGGGAGGCAGCAGUGGGGAAUAUUGGACAAUGGGCGAAAGCCUGAUCCAGCAAUGCCGCGUGAGUGAUGAAGGCCUUAGGGUUGUAAAGCUCUUUUACCCGGGAUGAUAAUGACAGUACCGGGAGAAUAAGCUCCGGCUAACUCCGUGCCAGCCGCCGCCGUAA